CGAACGGUGAGACUUGGAUGGAGAUGUAAGUCUGCAGACACGUUUUCAGUUCAUGCUGUCAAUGCUACAGCAACAGGAGAAAGAUUUACAAAUGUGUUACAACAAACAAGACAAGUUGUUUAUUGACCGUUGCGAACACUUGGAUGUGAUAGACAACCCAGGUAAUGGAUUCCUGGGUCGUGAACAAGGAAUGAAGGAGAUUGGAGAAAUAACCGAGUUAUGACGAAUGGGGAAGCUCAGCUAGUAGAACAGUCGACAAGCUAAGAAGGUAACGAGUGGAUGGACUGACACACUAGCUUUGCCAUCACAGACAUUAGAUCAAGAUAAUGUCUCAUGGGAAUCUGAACAGAGGCAGAAGCAGGAGGAGCUCCGAAGAGAACAGUUUCUCUCCUCCUUUAGAGACUGCGCAGACAGGCAAGAUGAAAGACAGAGGCAUCUUACCAGCCAAUCAUUGCUACUACAAGCAUUAGAACCGGUACUUUUAUGCGAGAAUAGUAAAGAUAAUUCUGAGACUGAGGAAUUGACAGCAGAACUAAUGACCCACCAAGUAA